rnacentral:snoRNA from 1 species
UUUAGUGAUGAAUUAAAUACAACUAUUGAAUUUCUUCAACUGAACUUUUAUGUGGAACAAAACAUUUAUAGAGCUUUUUAACCCUGAUA